GAUGAACGCUGGCGGCGUGCCUAAUACAUGCAAGUCGAGCGAACAGACGAGGAGCUUGCUCCUCUGACGUUAGCGGCGGACGGGUGAGUAACACGUGGAUAACCUACCUAUAAGACUGGGAUAACUUCGGGAAACCGGAGCUAAUACCGGAUAAUAUAUUGAACCGCAUGGUUCAAUAGUGAAAGACGGUUUUGCUGUCACUUAUAGAUGGAUCCGCGCCACAUUAGCUAGUUGGUAAGGUAACGGCUUACCAAGGCAACGAUGCGUAGCCGACCUGAGAGGGUGAUCGGCCACACUGGAACUGAGACACGGUCCAGACUCCUACGGGAGGCAGCAGUAGGGAAUCUUCCGCAAUGGGCGAAAGCCUGACGGAGCAACGCCGCGUGAGUGAUGAAGGUCUUCGGAUCGUAAAACUCUGUUAUUAGGGAAGAACAAAUGUGUAAGUAACUAUGCACGUCUUGACGGUACCUAAUCAGAAAGCCACGGCUAACUACGUG
rnacentral:rRNA from 1 species